UAAAGAUGAGCCUAAUUCAUUAUAUCAAAACUGCAUAGCAGAUGGAAAGAAAAGCAAGAAAGAUGUAUUACCUGAACAAGUCAUUCUUGGCAUUCGGUAUAAACACCGAAGAAAUCACGUAAAAUUUGGUUCCACAGAUAUAAGACAGACUCUCCUGUCCUUUCUCGUGCUUGACCAACACCUCAUGUGGCUGUGAACGUAGCCUAGACAAUGUCCUCUCUGCGAGCAAUUAACAGGGGUGAUGAUCGGAGGCAGCUCUCUUGGCAUUGUAGGAACAAAUCGGUUCUGAAGCAACUGGUAUUUGCAUUAGUUAAUAUGCCAAAGAUUGGAGUGAAUGGUGCUACUUGUAAUGACCUUGAACUUGGCCCAGAAAGUCUUACAUUCUGCAAAAUGUGUCUCACCAUAGAUCAGUUGGUAGAGAUUGCAACAAGGAUAUCAGAUGUCCAAUGGUCGCUGCUCAUUACACAUGAACGUUUCUGUGAAUCCUGUGCAGAUAGUUUGAUGGACCGCGAUUUGGACAAUACCAAUCCUGUACAGAUAGUUUCCUUAACUCUUAACAAUAACCACCACC
rnacentral:lncRNA from 1 species